rnacentral:rRNA from 1 species
CACAAGCGGUGGAUGAUGUGGAUUAAUUCGAUGCAACGCGAAAACCUUACCCACCUUUGACAUGUACGGAAUCCUUUAGAGAUAGAGGAGUGCUCGAAAGAGAGCCGUAACACAGGUGCUGCAUGGCUGUCGUCAGCUCGUGUCGUGAGAUGUUGGGUUAAGUCCCGCAACGAGCGCAACCCUUGCCAUUAGUUGCUACGAAAGGGCACUCUAAUGGGACUGCCGGUGACAAACCGGAGGAAGGUGGGGAUGACGUCAAGUCCUCAUGGCCCUUAUAGGUGGGGCUACACACGUCAUACAAUGGCCGGUACAGAGGGUAGCCAACCCGCGAGGGGGAGCCAAUCCCACAAAGCCGGUCGUAGUCCGGAUCGCAGUCUGCAACUCGACUGCGUGAAGUCGGAAUCGCUAGUAAUCGCGGAUCAGCAUGUCGCGGUGAAUACGUUCCCGGGUCUU